CAGUAGCCACGGUAAUACGAAGGGUGCAAGCGUUAAUCGGAAUUACUGGGCGUAAAGCGUGCGUAGGCGGUUUGUUAAGUCUGUUGUGAAAUCCCCGGGCUCAACCUGGGAAUGGCAAUGGAUACUGGCAAGCUAGAGUGUGUCAGAGGAUGGUGGAAUUCCCGGUGUAGCGGUGAAAUGCGUAGAGAUCGGGAGGAACAUCAGUGGCGAAGGCGGCCAUCUGGGACAACACUGACGCUGAGGCACGAAAGCGUGGGGAGCAAACAGGACUAGAUACCCCCGUAGUCCCUGUCUCUUAUAC
rnacentral:rRNA from 1 species